GACGAACGCUGGCGGCGUGCUUAACACAUGCAAGUCGAACGAAGUGGCGAACGGGUGAGUAACGCGUAAUCAACCUGCCCUUCAGAGGGGGACAACAGUUGGAAACGUCUGCUAAUCCCCCAUACUGAAUGGGUGGAUUGCGUCGGAUUAGCUAGUUGGAGGGGCAACGGCCCACCAAGGCGAUGAUCAGUAGCCGGGCUGAGAGGAUGAACGGCCACAUUGGGACUGAGACAAGGCCCAGACUCCUAAGGGAGGCAGCAGGGGGGAAUCUUCCGAAAUGGACGGAAGGCUGAAGGAGCAACGCCGCGUGAGUGAUGACGGCCUUCGGGUUGUAAAGCUCUGUUAAUCGGGACGCGGUACCGGAAUAGAAAGCCACGGCUAACUCCGUGCCAGCCGCCGCGGUAAUUC
rnacentral:rRNA from 1 species